AGAAAAGUAUCGAUUGUGAAUAGUAAUAUAGGCUGAUUUCUAGAGAGCUUGCGGUAGGUGAAAGCAGGUAAUUAAGCGAUAUGAAUCCACACAAUCACUGACUACGAAUAUGAGGAUUUAAUCCUAAUUAAGUAGAGCCGGGUUAGCCGUUAUCUAAUGAGCGUAAGACAUGGUAUUUCUGUGUCUUAAAGUAGGGUGGCACCGCGCAAUAAUAUAUGAGCUUCAAGCUAUUUCGUCCCUUCC
rnacentral:ncRNA from 1 species